rnacentral:rRNA from 1 species
GACGUAGGGAGCGAGCGUUGUCCGGAUUCAUUGGGCGUAAAGCGCGCGUAGGCGGUUUGGUAAGUCGGAUGUGAAAUCCCGGGGCUCAACCCCGGAACUGCCUUUGAUACUGGGUAUCUCGAGUCCGAGAGAGGUGAGUGGAAUUCCGAGUGUAGAGGUGAAAUUCGUAGAUAUUCGGAGGAACACCAGUGGCGAAGGCGGCUCACUGGCUCGGUACUGACGCUGAGGUGCGAAAGCGUGGGGAGCAAACAGG